rnacentral:lncRNA from 1 species
CCCCAAACCGACCAACCUCCCCCCGCAUGGGCCGAGCCCAUGGUGAGCUUCCCCGCUAACCCUCGCCAUGGGCGUUUUAUAAUAGGUUGCACCCAAUGUACUGCUUGGCCCGUUAGAUGGAUUCCGCCCGAAUACGUUUUUUUUCUUGAGUUCUGCGAUUUUCAUAUUAACUAGGGAAUUUAUAUUUUUAGAAAAUGUGCAUAUUUUAAAAUGCUAACAACUUUCUAACCAUGCAUCGGAUUAAAGAAAUAUAGAUAUGUGAAAUGUGUAUAUUUGUGUAGAUUAAUAAUUUCCAACUUUCGUGCAUAUUAAAAUUAUUUAAAUGUGUUGUUCAAUUAAAUUUGCAUUAGGUCAUGUUAAAAUGAUUUAAUUCAUAACUAAUUAUUCAUGGCUCCGAUUAAAAUGAUCCAUCUAUCUAUAUCUAUCUAUCUAUCUAUAUCUAUCUAUACUUAUACUAAUUUGAGACUCCCUAAAAAAUCCCACGUUAAUUAGAUUUUACGAGCCGUUAAUCUGAUGGGACCAAAUUAUUACGGUCGAGAUCGAUCAAUAUUUUUUUCUAAUCUAUUGUACGUAGUUUUUUCAAUUCUGCAAAAUAUUUUUCCCCACAAAAGGCUCACGUGCCUUCCUCAGUUUUCUAAUGAAGGACAUUGGACCUUCUACUGUUCACCCAAUCACAAAACCGUAAUUAACUGAUCGGAGGGUCAAUCCCACUCUUGACCCCUUUCCGCUUUCAAUCUACACGUCACAGUGCCGCCACCAACCUGGAAUUCAUCUCUCCUCAAUCCCCAAUCAAUCUCUCCUCAAUCCCCUUCUUCUCCAAUCUUUAAACCUCUUCUUACUCCAAGUUUCUGGAUACUUGAUGGCUGAUGUAUCAUCCCAGUUUGGACCUAUAUCCCUGGUAGUUUCAAGAAUGAGGCCACCAUCGAUUCUUGAGGUUGUGGAGUUGAGGAAUUACGUUGGAUUCGUGGCACCGCAGCUCACACUCCAAGCCCUACUCGAUUUGAAUUCGCAGAAAAUAUUCGCAGAUUUCAAGCGUUAAGGGUGCACAUGAGAGGAGUCACGACAAGUAUUGGCCAGCAGCAGUUGAUCAUGAGCUUCUGCAUGGUCUGGUCUUGCAGGAAUAUACGUCUAUAUCUUCAGAUGAGGCUGUUGUACGUAUUUAUCUCCACAUGAAGAAUUGAAGAUAAAGUUUCUCUCCUUUUUUAAAGGAUGUUAUUUUUGAAAUAGAUGCACUCAAAGUUAAUGGCUUUAAUGUGCAGGUUUGAUCUACCUACAUCCUUGAUGAGCAGUUUUGUGAGAACACUACAUGUAAAUCUCUUUGUGUCGGUAAUGGUGGAGAGUAGGUCAUGCUGCUAUCUUAUUGGCGUCAUACGUAUGUAUCUUCAGAUGAAUAAUUGAAGAUAAAGUUCUUCUCCUUCUUUUGUAAGGGAAGUUCUUUUCUUAAACAGAUGCAUGCAAAGUUAAUGGCAUGAAUGAGCAGGUUCAAUCUACAUACUCCUCGAUGAGCAGUUUAGUGAGAAAACUACAUGUGAAUCUCUUCCCGCCGGCCAUGGUGACAAAUAGGUGAUGCUGCUACCUUAAUGGCGUUCACGACUCUGGUCAUGUUGAUACUCCCUGUGGUGGCAGCGUGUAGAGGUGUAGACAUCCAAACAAGAUUAAUCAUCUCACCCAUAUACAUGGCCAACACAAGUGGCAGUGUGUGGAGGUGUAGACAUCCAAACAAAAUUAAUCGUCAUCCACAUACAUGGCCAACAGAUUGAUACCCAGGACAUUAAUCAUGUCAUUGGUCUUGACAGCGGCAACUUGCAGGUCUGAACAUGCACCCCCAAGCCAUGGUUCUCAGUGGUAGGUUUCCACUGACCUUGCAUAUCUUCAUUAUUGGCAUGAAUUUUUUACCUAAGCAACUACAGGAACGUCCUUCUUUCUCAUUUGCUAGAAUAAUUGUGGAAUGUAAUAAUAUUUGUGUAUAUGCCAAAUUUCUACCUCCUGAAAGCAACAUGGGCCGAUAUGGUGCGCGGAAUUAUAUGAUGCAUGCAGAAAAUAGAAUACAAGCAGAUAACAUGUAAUUUCAGACAAAUAUGUCACGUUUUAGAUGUCUCAAAUCCUUACAAAUCU